UACAGAGGGUGCGAGCGUUGUUCGGAAUUACUGGGCGUAAAGCGCGCGCAGGCGGCCCUUUAAGUCUGACGGUGAAAUGCCGGGGCUCAACCCCGUGCCCGCCGCGGAUACUGGAGGGCUGGAGACACGUAGAGGCAAGCGGAAUUCCUGGUGUAGCGGUGAAAUGCGCAGAUAUCAGGAGGAACACCGAUGGCGAAGGCAGGUCUCUGGGCAUUAACUGACGCUGAGGAGCGAAAGCAUGGGGAGCGAACAGG
rnacentral:rRNA from 1 species